rnacentral:rRNA from 1 species
AUCAGCCACACUGGGACUGAGACACUGCCCAGACUCCUACGGGAGGCUGCAGUCGAGGAUCAUUGUCAAUGCGCGAAAGCGUGAACAUGCGACGCUGCGUGGAGGAUGACAGCCUUCGGGUUGUAAACUCCUGUCAUGAGGGAAAAGCUGUCUUGGGCCUAACAGGUCCAGGAUUCGAUGGUACCUCAAGAGGAAGCCACGGCUAACUCUGUGCCAGCAGCCGCGGUAAUACAGAGGUGGCGAGCGUUGUUCGGAUUUACUGGGCGUAAAGCGUACGUAGGUGGUUUCGUGUGUCGGGUGUGAAAGCCCAUGGCUCAACUGUGGAAUUGCAUUCGAAACUGCGGAACUAGAGUGCAGGAGGGGAGAGCGGAAUUCUUGGUGUAGCGGUGAAAUGCGUUGAUAUCAAGAAGAACACCGGUGGCGAAGGCGGCUCUCUGGAAUGUUACUGACACUGAGGUACGAAAGCUGGGGUAGCAAACAGGAUUAGAUACCCUGGUAGUCCCAGCUGUAAACGGUGUGAACUUGGUGUUGGCGGUAUUGACCCCGCCAGCGCCGGAGCUAACGCGUUAAGUUCACCGCCUGGGGAGUACGGCCGCAAGGCUAAAACUCAAAGAAAUUGACGGGGGCCCGCACAAGCGGAGGAGCAUGUGGCUUAGUUCGAUGCAACGCGAAGAACCUUACCAGGGCUUGACAUGCAGCUGCAAGCCUCUCGAAAGGGAGGCCGCCUUCGAGGGUGCUGCACAGGUGCUGCAUGGCUGUCGUCAGUUCGUGCCGUGAGGUGUUGGGUUAAGUCCCGCAACGAACGCAACCCCUAUGUCUAGUUGCCACCAUCGGUGAUGAGCCGGUGAGCACUCUAGACAGACUGCCCGUACAAGCGGGAGGAAGGUGGGGACGACGUCAAGUCAGUAUGGCCCUUACGCCCUGGGCUGCACACGUGCUACAAUGGCCGGUACAGAGGGAAGCAAGACCGCGAGGUGGAGCAAAUCCUCAAAACUGGCCCCAGUUCGGAUUGGAGUCUGCAACUCGACUCCAUGAAGUUGGAUUCGCUAGUAACGGCGUAUCAGCUACGGCGCCGUGAAUACGUUCCCGGGCCUUGUACACACCGCCCGUCACAUCAUGAAAGCCGUCGACACCCGAAGUCGUUGAUCCAACCUGCAAAGGGGGAAGGCGCCGAAGGUGUGGGUGGUGAUUGGGAUGAAGUCGUAACAAGGUA